GACAGAGGGGGCAAGCGUUGCUCGGAAUCACUGGGCGUAAAGGGCGCGUAGGCGGGCUGUCAAGUCUGGGGUGAAAUCCCACGGCUCAACCGUGGAACUGCCUUAGAUACUGACGGCCUCGAGGGAGAUAGGGGCGAGCGGAACUGUGAGUGGAGCGGUGAAAUGCGUUGAUAUUCACAGGAACUCCGGUGGCGAAGGCGGCUCGCUGGAUCUUUUCUGACGCUGAGGCGCGAAAGCUAGGGGAGCAAACGGG
rnacentral:rRNA from 1 species